rnacentral:rRNA from 1 species
GGGCGUUAAGUUGCAGGGUAUAGACCCGAAACCCGGUGAUCUAGCCAUGGGCAGGUUGAAGGUUGGGUAACACUAACUGGAGGACCGAACCGACUAAUGUUGAAAAAUUAGCGGAUGACUUGUGGCUGGGGGUGAAAGGCCAAUCAAACCGGGAGAUAGCUGGUUCUCCCCGAAAGCUAUUUAGGUAGCGCCUCGUGAAUUCAUCUCCGGGGGUAGAGCACUGUUUCGGCAAGGGGGUCAUCCCGACUUACCAACCCGAUGCAAACUGCGAAUACCGGAGAAUGUUAUCACGGGAGACACACGGCGGGUGCUAACGUCCGUCGUGAAGAGGGAAACAACCCAGACCGCCAGCUAAGGUCCCAAAGUCAUGGUUAAGUGGGAAACGAUGUGGGAAGGCCCAGACAGCCAGGAUGUUGGCUUAGAAGCAGCCAUCAUUUAAAGAAAGCGUAAUAGCUCACUGGUCGAGUCGGCCUGCGCGGAAGAUGUAACGGGGCUAAACCAUGCACCGAAGCUGCGGCAGCGACGCUUAUGCGUUGUUGGGUAGGGGAGCGUUCUGUAAGCCUGUGAAGGUGUACUGUGAGG